rnacentral:rRNA from 1 species
CCUACGGGAUGCAGCAGUGGGGAAUAUUGGACAAUGGGCGAAAGCCUGAUCCAGCAAUGCCGCGUGUGUGAAGAAGGUCUUCGGAUUGUAAAGCACUUUCGACGGGGACGAUGAUGACGGUACCCGUAGAAGAAGCCCCGGCUAACUUCGUGCCAGCAGCCGCGGUAAUACGAAGGGGGCUAGCGUUGCUCGGAAUGACUGGGCGUAAAGCGCACGUAGGCGGACUAUUAAGUCAGGGGUGAAAUCCCGGGGCUCAACCCCGGAACUGCCUUUGAUACUGGUAGUCUUGAGUUCGAGAGAGGUGAGUGGAAUUCCGAGUGUAGAGGUGAAAUUCGUAGAUAUUCGGAGGAAUACCGGUGGCGAAGGCGGCAACCUGGCUCGAUACUGACGCUGAGGCGCGAAAGCGUGGGGAGCAAACAGGAUUAGAUACCCUGGUAGUC